rnacentral:rRNA from 1 species
UUUGCGCAUGGCCGAANGCUGNGCAGCGACGCCGCGUGUGGGAGGAAGCUCUUCGGGGUGUAAACCACUGUUGCCCGGGACGAAUGAUGAGCAUUCGCUCAUUUGACGGUACCGGGUGAGGAAGCACCGGCUAACUCUGUGCCAGCAGCCGCGGUAAUACAGAGGGUGCGAGCGUUGUCCGGAAUCACNUGGGCGUAAAGGGCGCGUAGGCGGCUUGAUAAGCGUGCGGUGAAAGCCCGGGGCUCAACCCCGGGUCGGCCGUGCGAACUGUCGAGCUGGAGCACNUGUAGAGGCAGGUGGAAUUCCGGGUGUAGCNGGUGGAAUGCGUAGAGAUCCGGAAGAACACCGGUGGCGAAGGCGGCCUGCUGGGCAGUGGCUGACGCUGAGGCGCGACAGCGUGGGGAGCAAACAGGAUUAGAUACCCUGGUAGUCCACGCCGUAAACGAUGGGCACUAGGUGCUUGGGGGAGCGACCCUCCGAGUGCCGGCGCUAACGCAUUAAGUGCCCCGCCUGGGGAGUACGGCCGCAAGGCUGAAACUCAAAGAAAUUGACGGA